AUCCCUGUAUCGCAAUGGAUAGCAUGUUGGACAUCUAAUCCAAAGAUAAUGGGUCCAAAUUCCACCUGGGAUG